GUCGAGAAUUUUUCUCAAUGGGGGAAACCCUGAAGGAGCGACGCCGCGUGGGGGAUGAAUGGCUUCGGCCCGUAAACCCCUGUCAUUUGCGAUCAAACCUUACGGCCAAAUACGCCGUAAGCUGAUAGUAGCGAAAGAGGAAGGGACGGCUAACUCUGUGCCAGCAGCCGCGGUAAUACAGAGGUCCCAAGCGUUGUUCGGAUUCACUGGGCGUAAAGGGUGCGUAGGCGGUCGGGUAAGUCUAACGUGAAAUCUCCGAGCCUAACUCGGAAACUGCGUCGGAUACUAUUCGGCUAGAGGAAUGGAGGGGAGACUGGAAUUCUCGGUGUAGCAGUGAAAUGCGUAGAUAUCGAGAGGAACACCAGUGGCGAAGGCGAGUCUCUGGACAUUUCCUGACGCUGAGGCACGAAAGCCAGGGGAGCAAACGGGAUUAGAAACCCGAGUAGUCC
rnacentral:rRNA from 1 species